rnacentral:rRNA from 1 species
CUAAGCCUGCGAGUCGAGAGGGUUCGGCCCUCGGCUGAUCGCUCAGUAACACGUGGAUAAUCUGCCCUUAGGUGGAGGAUAAUCUCGGGAAACUGAGGAUAAUACUCCAUAGAUAUAGGAUGCUGGAAUGCAUCUAGAUUGAAAGCUCCGGCGCCUAAGGAUGAGUCUGCGGACUAUCAGGUUGUAGUCAGGGUAAAGACCUGACUAGCCUACUGACGGAUACUGGGUUGUGAGAGCAAUAACCCGGAGACGAUAUCUGAGACACGAUAUCGGGCCCUACGGGGCGCAGCAGGCGCGAAAACUUCACACUGUGCGAAAGCGCGAUGAGGGAAUCCCAAGUGUUUGCUCGUAAGAGUAAACUGUUUCUUUGUUUAAAACGCAGAGAGAGUAAGGGCUGGGUAAGACGGGUGCCAGCCGCCGCGGUAAUACCUGCAGCUCAAGUGGUGAUCAUUAUUAUUGGGCCUAAAACGUCCGUAGCCGGUUUAGUAAAUGCCUGGGUAAAUCGUGUAGCUUAACUAUACCACUUCCGGGUAGACUGCUAAACUUGAGACCGGGAGAGGCUAGAGGUAUUCCUGGGGUAGAGGUGAAAUUCUGUAUCCUAGGGGGACCACCAGUGGCGAAGGCUUUACUAGAACNGGUCUUACGUGA